CGUUUAGUGGCGAACGGGUGAGUAAUACAUAGGUAACCUACCCUUAAGACGAGGAUAGCCAUUGGAAACGAUGGAUAAAACUGGAUAGGAUAUAGAGGAAGAAUCUUUUAUAUUUAAAAGAGAGAUCUGCUUAAGAGGGCCUGUGGCGCAUUAGCUAGUUGGUGGGGUAAGGGCCUACCAAGGCGAUGAUGCGUAGCCGGACUGAGAGGUUGAACGGCCACAAUGGAACUGAGAACGGUCCAUACUCCUACGGGAGGCAGCAG
rnacentral:rRNA from 1 species